rnacentral:rRNA from 1 species
GAUGAACGCUGGCGGCGUGCCUAAUACAUGCAAGUCGAGCGAACGGACGAGAAGCUUGCUUCUCUGAUGUUAGCGGCGGACGGGUGAGAAACACGUGGAUAACCUACCUAUAAGACUGGGAUAACUUCGGGAAACCGUAGCUAAUACCGGAUAAUAUUUUGAACCGCAUGGUUCAAAAGUGAAAGACGGUCUUGCUGUCACUUAUAGAUGGAUCCGCGCUGCAUUAGCUAGUUGGUAAGGUAACGGCUUACCAAGGCAACGAUGCAUAGCCGACCUGAGAGGGUGAUCGGCCACACUGGAACUGAGACACGGUCCAGACUCCUACGGGAGGCAGCAGUAGGGAAUCUUCCGCAAUGGGCGAAAGCCUGACGGAGCAACGCCGCGUGAGUGAUGAAGGUCUUCGGAUCGUAAAACUCUGUUAUUAGGGAAGAACAUAUGUGUAAGUAACUGUGCACAUCUUGACGGUACCUAAUCAGAAAGCCACGGCUAACUACGUGCCAGCAGCCGCGGUAAUACGUAGGUGGCAAGCGUUAUCCGGAAUUAUUGGGCGUAAAGCGCGCGUAGGCGGUUUUUUAAGUCUGAUGUGAAAGCCCACGGCUCAACCGUGGAGGGUCAUUGGAAACUGGAAAACUUGAGUGCAGAAGAGGAAAGUGGAAUUCCAUGUGUAGCGGUGAAAUGCGCAGAGAUAUGGAGGAACACCAGUGGCGAAGGCGACUUUCUGGUCUGUAACUGACGCUGAUGUGCGAAAGCGUGGGGAUCAAACAGGAUUAGAUACCCUGGUAGUCCACGCCGUAAACGAUGAGUGCUAAGUGUUAGGGGGUUUCCGCCCCUUAGUGCUGCAGCUAACGCAUUAAGCACUCCGCCUGGGGAGUACGACCGCAAGGUUGAAACUCAAAGGAAUUGACGGGGACCCGCACAAGCGGUGGAGCAUGUGGUUUAAUUCGAAGCAACGCGAAGAACCUUACCAAAUCUUGACAUCCUUUGACAACUCUAGAGAUAGAGCCUUCCCCUUCGGGGGACAAAGUGACAGGUGGUGCAUGGUUGUCGUCAGCUCGUGUCGUGAGAUGUUGGGUUAAGUCCCGCAACGAGCGCAACCCUUAAGCUUAGUUGCCAUCAUUAAGUUGGGCACUCUAAGUUGACUGCCGGUGACAAACCGGAGGAAGGUGGGGAUGACGUCAAAUCAUCAUGCCCCUUAUGAUUUGGGCUACACACGUGCUACAAUGGACAAUACAAAGGGCAGCGAAACCGCGAGGUCAAGCAAAUCCCAUAAAGUUGUUCUCAGUUCGGAUUGUAGUCUGCAACUCGACUACAUGAAGCUGGAAUCGCUAGUAAUCGUAGAUCAGCAUGCUACGGUGAAUACGUUCCCGGGUCU